AACGAACGCUGGCGGCGGGCUUAACACAUGCAAGUCGAACGGAAAGGCCCUGCUUUCUUGGGUUUCCGGGGGGCCAAAGGGGGGAGUAACAGGUAAUUAACCGCCCCUUGACUUUGGGAUAACUUCAGGAAACGGGGCCUAAUACCGUAUAGCAUCUCCUCUUCCAGGGUGGGGGUGGGAAAUUUUCGGCGUUUGGGGAUGGACUCGCGGCUUACCAGCUUGUUGGUGGGGUAGGGGCUUACCAAGGCUUGGACGGAUAGCCGGCCUGAGAGGGUGACCGGCCACAUUGGGACUGCGAUACGGCCCAGACUCCUACGGGAGGCAGCAGUGGGGAAUAUUGCACAGUGAGCGGAAGCCUGAUGCAGCAACGCCGCGUGCGGGAUGACGGCCUUCGGGUUGUAAACCGCUUUCGCCUGUGACGAAGCGUGAGUGACGGUAAUGGGUAAAGAGGCACCGGCUAACUACGUG
rnacentral:rRNA from 1 species